rnacentral:siRNA from 1 species
GUACAAUGUCCCACAUCGCUUAGA